rnacentral:lncRNA from 1 species
CUUGAUUCUUGUCCCGAAAACAAAACAAGUACGCAGUGACAAAUUAAUAAUGUGAACCGUUCAUAACAAAGACCACAUAAGCCAUAUAUAGCUUAUUACACAACAGUAGAAGCAGCAUGCACAACAGGUUUACCACAACAAUUCAACAAACAUCACAUCACAUGUAGCAUUAUUCAUGCCUCAAGAACAUCACCACCACUACUACAACCAGUCAUCACCAACAGCUAAACACCAUAUGUCUCACAUAGACAGAACUAAUAAUGAAGCAAACAACAAAUGGAACACAUCCAGCUCUCCAAUAAUGCAUGCAGGUAACUAAAAGCAGUACUAGAACACGAGCUAUAGCUAGCUAGAACACAAGAACUGCUCGUAUGUAGCUAGGGGAAACCAAUGCAACCAACCAACCACGCAUGCAUGCACGCACGCACGCACGAUGACGACGACGACGACGACGUACUAUAGUAGCAUCACUCUACUACCACGCCGGCGACUGACGGAGUUCAGGGCUUGUUGGCGUGCUCGGGGACGGAGCCGGCGGUGGGGGAGCCGGGCAUGCCGCCGAAGCCGCUGAACGGGGAGCCGCCGCCGAAGAGGGGCAUGCUGCCGAUGCUGCCGCUGCCGGGCAGGAACCCAGGCAUGCUGCUGCCGCCGCUGCUCCCGGGCAGGCUGAACCCGGGAAUGCUGCUGCCAGGAAUGCUGCUGCCGGUGCCGGGGAGGCCGCCGAACGCCGGGGACGCGCCGCCGCCGAGGCGGUCGAAGGGCGGGAAGGUCUGCGGCUGCACCACCGCGUCGUUGUCCGCCUUCUUCUCCGCCGCCGCCGCCGUCGUCGUCGUCUUGAUGUUCCUCGCCUCGGCGGUCGUCGCCACGGCCAGAGCCAGGGCCAGUAGAGCCGCCGCCGCCAUCAUCAUCUUGGAAGACCUCGCCAUCGCGCGCUAGCUUAGCUCUCUCGGCUCUCUUCUUGCUUGCUUGCUCCCCAGCUCCUCGACUACAAGUCUUCUCACUUGCUGCUGCUGUGGUGGUCGUGAGGAGAGAGAGGAGGCGAGGCAGGUGCUUUUAUAGCGGGAGGAGGAGGCGGGCGGGGGGGGGGCAUUGAAGACGGCGCGCAGAGCAGCGAGCUCAUCGGCCGGCCGGCUGCACGGGACGGACGGACGAGGAGGGCGCGGGCCGGGCGGGGCAGCAGCAGCGACGGUAGGUGGGGGGCGUUAAAGGAUGGGAGUAAAGGAGAGGCAGGGUACGUACCUGCUGGCUGCUGCUGCUCUUUACUGCAUGCCAUCCUGUGACUGUGACCGCCAUUAAUCUCCCCAGCAGAGGUUGCAUUGCAUCCGCAUAUGCAUGGCCAUGGAGCUAGGGCCACCAGCCAGCCAUGGAGAUCGAGAAGGCGGGAUUUCUUUUUUCACUCUUCAGAUCGACGCGGUUGAUGAAUGGUGCGUACGGUGACGCUGGCCGGCCGGCUAGCUGUGCUGUGCCUGUGCUGUGCUUGCCAUCGAACGCCUGUUGAUCUAAAUUUUUUUCAAAAUUUCUUAUCACAUUUAAUCUUAUAACAUAUAUGGAGCACUAAAUAUAAAUAAAAAAAUUAAUUAAUUGUAUAAUUUAUCUGUAAUUUGCGAGACAAAUCUUUUAAACCUAUAUUGGACAAUAAUUAUUAAAUACAAACAAAAGUGCCACUGUCAAAAUCUAAAAAAAAUUGUGGAUCUAAACAAGGCCUUGUUUAUUUGCACCCAAAAUCCAAAAACUUUUCAACAUUCUUCGUCACAUCGAAUCUUUAGACGUAUGUAUGAAGUAUUAAAUAUAGAUGUAAAUAAAAAAUAAUUGCACAGUUUGGUCGAAAUUUACGAGACGGAUCUUUUAAGUCUAGUUAGUCCAUGAUUGGACAAUAAUUAUCAUAAACAAACGAAAGUGCUACAGUGUCGCGAAAAUUUUUUUGCAAAAUAGAAAUAGUAGCACUUUCGUUUGUAUUUGACAAAUAUUGUCUAAUUAUGGACUAACUAGGCUCAAAAUAUUCGUCUAGUCAAUUUCGACCAAACUAUGCAAUUAGUUUUUAUUUUCAUCUAUAUUUAAUACUCUAUGCAUACGUCUAAAGAUUCGAUGUGACGGGGAAUCUGAAAAAAUUUGCAAAAUUUUUGGGAACUAAACAAGGCCUAAAAAGGCCCAAGGCCGAAAUCGAAAUGCCGUGAAAGCUUUGCAUUGGCAGUCUGCUAGCUACGGCUGCAUGCGUGACACAUGCAUGCAUGGUGGGUGGUGACGAACGGGUGGCCGUAUCGAUCGUUGUACCACUGACUGGACGGAAGGAAGACGAUUGGAGAGCGUUGCGUCUCCGUUAGCUAUAAGCCUGGAAUGGCAGUACGUACGUUCGGAGAUGGAUCCCAUCGGUAUGCAUGUAGGAGUAAUGUGUGCUGCUGCAUGCAUAUUGCAGCUGGUGGAUCGGAGGACGGACGCGCGUGGAACUGUGGUCAUCCCAACACGUGAGGGCGGUAAUGCUAUUCGCCAUGACAGUUAAGCGUGUAAGUACGGCGCUGAUCGUCGAUCUUCCUAGCUCGCUGGCGUGACAGAAACAUAUACCCUCAGGUUUGCCAUUGCUACUACCUGCGCAUGCACAAUAUAUAUAAAUUCUCCAUAUUCUCUGGGUCGUUUAGGCUUUAAUUGGACAGUGAUUAAUAUGCGUGUUUCAUUUGCAUGCAUGAUGUGGCUCAAACUGAACUAAAACUGCACAAUAAUUUCUUUUCUUAAAAUGUAAUUAAGCAGUUUGGUUCAGUUGUGCGUAAGAAACUACUACUUCUGUUGUGCGUAAUUCACGACGAUGAGGAACAAGUAUAUAGCACAAGAUUCAAGUAAAAAAAAGCGAGCGAGCACAAGUGAUCGCACUACUGUGUUGAUGAUGCACGCCAGAUGGAUCGGCCGGUGCACUCGCAUGAGCAUUAAACAGAUGUAUGGUUUGUGGAAUGGAUGGUAGUCGUUGGUGACAUAAUGCUAUGGGCACGGGCGGGCAACAUGCCCUAAGAGGAAUAAAGGGCUACUACGAAAAGGAACUACGGAGUAAUAAAUUAAAUCGCUUCAUUAUCAUGCCCUAUUAUGCGAAUGGUAUGGAGUACUAGAUGUUUGGAGAAAAUAAUGACUUUAUGUCCUAUUAUUGUGCCUAGCUACUUUAUUUUAUAUAUACAGUCCACAUAAAAAAAAAGUGCCACUGCUCUUCCGAUCCUGCAGCAUGGAGUAAUUGCAUUCCUUCUGUUUUGACCCAACUAGAGUAUUCCCUCCAUUUUCACUGACGAAUGCAAUUCUUGUUUUUCAAAAAGUCAAACCAUUCGAACUUUGACUGAAUUUAUAUAAAAAAUUACUAACAUUCAUGAUACAAAAAAAUAUUAAUUAUAGAAUAUAUUUUAUAAUAAAUUUAUUUGAAAACAUAAAUAUUAAUACUAUUUACUAUAAAUUUGGUCAAAUUUUAACAAGUUUGAUCAACAUGCUUUCAAUAAUUGUAUUCAUGUGGGGUCUAAUUAAUACUAGUAAUAACUAGGCUUUGGACAAAUAUGCGUGUUUCAUUCAUGAUGUAGCUCAAACUGAACUAAAACCGCACCUAUUUUAAUUUCUUUUCUUAAAAGGAAAACUACAGUUUAAUUAACUACUGCUUCUGUUGUGGGUAGUUAACGAUAAGACAAGGAACGAACACAACACAGGCCUUGUUUAGUUGGAAAAAAAAUUGGUUUUAGCUACUGCAGCACUUCCGUUUGUAUUUGAUAAUUAUUAUCCAAUUAUGAACUAACUAGACUCAAAAGAUUCGUCUCGUAAAUUAUAGGCAAACUUUGUAAUUAAUUAUUAUUAUUAUUAUUUAUAUUUAAUACUUCAUGAUGCAUGUCUCCAAAGAUUCGAUGUGAUGAAGAAUCUUGAAAAGAAAAUAAACUAAAAACAAGGCCACAAGUGAUCUCGGCACUGUUGAUGCAUGCCAUAUGGAUCGGCCGGUGCACAGGCAUGAACAUUAAACAGAUGUAUGGUUUGUGAUACGGAUGGUAGUCGUUGGUGACAUAAUGCUAUGGGCACGGGCAACAUGCUAUAUGCCCUAUAAAGGGGCAUUACCACAGGACCUUAUAUUUUUUAUAUAAAAAAAGAACUACGGUGUAAUAAAUCGCUUCAUCAUGCCCUCUUGUUUGGAGAAAGUGAUGACUUAUUUAUGUCUUAUUAUUGUGUGUAGCUAGUUUAGUUACAUAUAGUAGUCUACACAAAUAAAAAAAUGUCACUGCUCUUCCGAUUCAGCAGCAUGGAGAUGGAGUAGCAAGCUAAGAUUAUCUCCAACAAUUGUUAUCUAAAAUAGAAGACUCAUUUUUAUGUUUGGGUAGUACGACAGGUAAAAGAUUUCAUACCCUUUUUAUUUUCUCCAACAACAAGACCCAAAAGAGAGUUUUUCCUGCAAAUAGGUCUCGAAGUAUUUGGGUUAUACCUCUCCUCAUACCCAAAAUAAAUAUUCUAUAUAGAUACUCUGUUGAAGGUUAUAGGUAUUGUAUUAGAGAUCCAUUUUGAGUUUCCUACGUGUCUGUCAUUUUAAGUUUUCUUAUGGGUCUUCUACUAGAGACAGCUUAGUUCGGAUAAACCCUGUUUUUUUCUUAUGUUUUCUUCCCAGAACGGUCGGGUGACUGCAUGUCUGCAUGCAGCACACAAGAGCAGCGGCAAGCAGCGGAAGAACGGCUAGUGCAUACUGUAGUCAAGACUCAACGCAACAACUGUCAUGAGGUGAAGGCAACUCUCAUGAGGUAAAAGUGUAACACGUCAAUGUGGCUUCAAAUCAAAAUACUUGAAUCCUACAAUCUUAGCAUCACAGCUUCUCAAGUUGUGAAUCGAGUUGAUCUCACCAAGAAGGUUAAUCCCUACCUGGGAAACGAAAAACAAAAGUGAGACUCGAAAGUACACAAUCCAACUACUCAAUUAAAGUGACAAGUUGUGGAUGUAUGAUUAUGCUCAUGAAAUUGGGGUUUCACAACCAAUAUAAUGACAGACGAUUGUUUGAUGGUGGAUUGAUCUAAAUCAAAACUCUUGGACUCUAACAGUUAUAAGGUCUAAGGGGUGACCAAGAACCAAUAUUUUGCCCCUAAUUGGCCCCUACACGUUACACGACCCAACGACGCCAAAGACAUUGACAUAGCACCCUAUAGAUUGAUAUGAUGUCCACUUGUUUCAACGAUUUUUGUUGGCUGCGAAGGAAUUUCAUGUGAAACUAUCACCAUUGAUUGGCUUAUGAAAUUAUCUUUUCAUGCAUAGAAUGUCAAAAACGAAAUCCAUAUGUGUCCUACACAUCCAUUCACUACUACAAAAACUCUUGCGAGGCGUUUUGAAAUAGGCCUGGGAGGCGGACAACAAUUCAAACCGCCUCGGUUAAUGCCUAGAAUUAACCGAGGUGGUCUUUUUUUUAUUAACCCAGGCAGCUAUAGAUAACCGCCUUGCAAAAUCGAUUAACCGAGGCGGGCAUAUUAAAUUAACCGUCUCCAAAAAUCAUCUAUUUUCGGAGGCGGAUGGCUAAAGAUGUCCGCCUCCAGAAAAUAAUUUCUAGAGACGGGCACACUAUAAUGCCCGCCUCCAAAAAGGCCAAGGCCCAACAGGCCCAAACGAGUGCAAUACACAUCUUCUAAUAUAAAUAUAAGAGAAUUAGGGUUUACUCUUGUAUCUCUAUCAGACACCGAGCAACAUCGUUCCCCUCCCCUUCGACACACCGAGCCCCAACGCCACCCCUCCCUCCCUCUCCCUCUCCUCGUGAGCCUAACGCUGCCCUUCCUCUCCCUCCGAGACCUCCCUCUCCCUCUCCUCGUGAGGACCAAGCCCAGCGCUACCCCUCCCUUCCUCUCCUUCCAAGACCUCCCUCUCCCUCUCCUCCCGAGGAUGCACGGCGGCGAGCUCCCUCCCACGACAUGUCUCCACCACCACCAUGGCAUGCGACCAGAUCUAAUGGCGGCGCGACCUGGGAGGCCAGAUCCAGUGCACACUCCUCUUCUUCUCCACCAUGGUGGCCAAAGAGGGUGCAUGUGGCGGUGGGUCACUGGAUCUAGCGGCAAGCGGUUGGAUCGGGCGACUGGCGGCCUGAUCUACCGGGUGCACGUGGUCUAGGCUCCUUCCUCUUCCCCAAUGGCGCUGGAGAGGCAGCUGGAGCUGGGGCGACGGAUCGACAGUGGCAGCAGGAGGUCUAGAUCUGUGCGGCCCAGACCCGGGCCCGUGUGGGUUUUUUUCUUUUUUUGUUUAUUUUAAUCCAUUAACGAAGGCAGGCCAAAAAAACGCCUCCUUUAAUUCUCCAUUUACCGCGACCUUCAAUUGGAGGCGUUUUGUGUGCCCACCUUGCAAAAUCAAUUUUGCCCGCCUCAGUUAAGGUUUAUUGUAGUAGUGAUUUUAGUGUACGUUGUUCCUUGGGUCCGUGAUGCACUCGAACUCAAUAUGUAUUGAGACUCCAUCUUGGUUUGGUCACCCAUGCUAGUCUUUUUCGCAUAAAUAUUUUUUUAAUGUAAUAAUAGUAUCAUAUCUAUUCACAUAAUUUUAGAUGUGGACCAAAUUACCAACCGCUUUUGAAAAUGCCUCCACUUCCAAAGGCGGCUAGAAAGCCUAGCCACCUAAAUAAUAUUUUUAGAGGUGGUGGUAAAAAUCAACUUUUAGAGAUGGAGACAUCUCUAAAAAUCAACUUUUUUGAUAGUUUCGUCUCUAGACUAAAAUGGAGACAUCUCUAAAUAUAAUUCUAGAUAAUAAACUACUAUAUCUAUAAAGGUAGUACUCUUUGCUGCUUUUCAUCAAGGUUAUCUUCAUUAUUGCCAGCAAAGUUUAUUUUGUCCUUGAGGGCAUGUGCUCUCACUCUCCCACCCAUUAUAUUUGCUUUGAGAAGUGUACAAACACACAUUUCAAUACGAAACUGCUUUGAGAUGUGUGUUUGUACAUUUCUCAAAGCGAAUCCAAUGGGUGGGAGAGCGAGGGUAUGUGCUCUUAAGGACAAAAAAAACCGCCUCAUUAUUACCUCCCUGGAGAAAUGAGAAAUGAUACAUGCAUGAUGUCCACAUAGUAUAUCUCCCCCUUCAUCUGUAAAAAGAAGAAUAAUGCAAUGUUGUAGAGAGUUUCAAAGUUGACGCAUAGCAUGCAAGAUGUCUGAGAGAACUGGCAACCGGAUGAGCAUCUCGUGUCCACUAUGGCCUUGUUUACUUUUCGAGAUUAAAAGAAAACUGACUACAUAGUUUCUAUGUAAUUUACGAGAUGAAUAUUUUAAGUCUAGUUACAAACAAAAGUGCUACAGUAGCAUUUUGCAAAAAGAAAAAAAAAAUCAGAAAAUAAAACACGGCCUAUAUAUCUCAGCUUUUCCUCUUUGGUGCAAUAACCAUCACUUUAUUGUUGGCAAGUAAAGCGUUUUGCACAGAAGUAACGUGGGAACUGAUCGUCCAGAUCAACCCAUGCACUGUACAUAUGAUUGCAUCGCUGGCACGUGUACGCGCGCGUACGCUGGAUGUAGCGGUGCAUUGUACACCGCCCGCGCAUGCAGCUGCGCAUGCUUGAUGCCAUACGAGUCACGACGAUGCAAUAUCUGUAUCUACUAUCUACCGUCCGUGGAUCGAAAUAACUCGAUCCUGUCCCGCUCCCCCGCCUAUGGAUGGAUGUCGAUGGAUGAGCAGAAGCAAGCGCUGUGUGUCGCCCUAAGGAGCUCGGAGGUCUCGGUCUAAUUGACCUACGUCGUUUCGGGGUGGCACUGCAACUUCGUUGGGAAUAGAAGCGCAGGUUACAAUCUUACCUGCCAUGGGUGCCACUGCCUUCACCUGCAAACAAGAACCCGGCAUCGAUCUUCCUUGCUGCUACCGACGUUGUCCUAGGCGAUGGCAAGACGGCCAUCUUCUGGCAGGACCGCUGGUUGCCGGACGGGCGUUCAGUGUAGGAUGUGGCCCCCAACAUUCUGGCCAGGGUCCCCCGCCGGCAUCGAGUAGUGACGGUCGCUGAUGCCAUCCUUGACCGCGCUUGGGUCAGAGACAUCGCGCCGUCUUUCACUUUGAUCAUUCUCACGGAGUAUCUGCAGCUUUGGGACAUCAUUCGGAAUGUCCAGCUUUCCGACACUUCGCCUGAUGUUUUGCGUUGGAGGUGGUCCGCAGACAUGUCCUACUCCGCGGCAUCCGCCUACCACCUAAUGUUCGCCGGUGCCACCAGGCCUCUGGGGGAGAAGGAAUUGUGGAAGGUGGCAGCGCCUCCCAAGGUAAAAUACUUCUUCUGGCUCGCGCUACACAUGUUGGACGGCGGCAAGACGUCAUCGCCGCGGUUUGCAGCAGUCUCCAACCUGUGUCCUCUGCGGGGUGGACGUUGAGGAGAUUGACCAUAUCCUGAUUACUUGUUCCUUCAGCCGGAACGUCUGGCAAAUCGUCUUUGGCCGGCUUCAGCUUUCUCAGGUUCCGCUGCAGCCUGCUCAUUGCUUCUGGUCUUGGUGGCUGUGCGCGCGCAAGCUGGUUCAGAAGACGCAGAGGAAGGGCUUUGAUUCCAUUGUUUUCGUCGUCGGGUGGAUUCUCUUGAAGGAGCGGAACGCCAGAACUUUUGACUCCAGAAUUUCCAGCCUGCCAGAGGUGCUUCUCUGCGUCCUAGAGGAAGCGCGGUUGUGGUUUCGUGCCGGCUACAGGCACUUGGGCCUUUUCCCUUUGUUCGCUUACGCGUCGCAUCCUGUUCCAGCUUAAACUUCUUUGUAACCUCUGCUACUGCAAUCUGUAGCCUUGGUUGAGGUUACAGUUGUCUCUCGUAAUUACGGUUUUAUCUGAGACUGUUGUAACCUCAACGUUCCAUUUCUACUUAAUGAAUCACGUGUCGUGUUGACACGCUCGCGAAAAAAAGCAGAAGCAAGCGCCAGCGUUGGCGUGGCUUGCUCGGCGACGCCAAACGCAUGGGGCUCCACCUCAAAGUGACCACUCCAACUCACCAGCUGCGCGCGAGUAGAAAGCACCAACAGCCAGCGAACAAGACUCAACAGCAGUGGUUCAUGUGUGCCGAGCACGAACGGAACAACACAGUGGCGUAGCCGUGUAGUAGAUGAACAGUACUCACGCUGCCCGGCUGCCGCCUUCAAUUUCGUCACCAGCCAACUACCAGCAUCAGCGAUGCGCUGAUGUGUCGCAUUUCUUCUGCCUACAGCUGUUGGGACUGCCACGCAUGUCUUCAAUUCCAUAGCAGUUGUUGCUAAGGCCUUGUUUAGAUCCGCAAUUCUUUUGAAUUUUGACACUGUAGUAUUUUUGUUUUUUACUUGACAAAUAUUGUCUAAUCAUAAAGUAACUAGGCUUAAAAGAUUCAUCUCGUAAUUUACAAGCAAACUGUAAUUAGUUUUUGUUUUCAUUUAUAUUAAUGCUCAAUGCAUGUGCCGUAAGAUUUGAUAUGACGAAAAAUUUUAAAAAAUUGUUGGUUUUUAGGUGAACUAAACAAGGCCUAAGUGCCAGUUGACCUAGCUAGCACGUUCAAGGUCGCACAAAACCUAAAUCAUAACAAGAAUGCAGUAAAUAAGUGGAACCGAUUAACAAGUCUCGGUUAGAUCAUUCGAUGCCCAUUCUUUGUAUAUGGAUGGAGGUUGGAUUUUUCAGUCGACUAUUAUCCUCUUGUUUAUAUAGUAGGGUGGUCUUAUCACAUUACGUGGGAAGUUUUUCACGUCAAAAAUGCAUCUAGUUAAAACCGACUUGAAAAGAAACCGAACUUGAAAUAGUCGGCAAAACCGGGCUGACAAUGGCCUUCUUCCGGCCUCCUUGCCAGUAAGGAUGGCAGCGGGCAGUUUCAGGUCGGAUAUCCAUGGGUUUCGGUUCUCAUAGGUUCGGGUUUGGUGAUGUUUUUUCAUUCACGAUUUUCGGGUUCGGGACCCCGAAACCUGUCGAGUUCGGUUUUGGGUUUAGUUUUGCACCAGUGGAUAUCCAAUGGAUAUCCAAAAUAAGUCAUUAGAAUUAAUUUUUCAUAUUUUAUAAUAUGAUAAUAAUAACUUGUUUACUUAGAUUACUAAAUUUAUUUUAAGCUAACUUAUGAAAAUAUUUAUUUGUUAUUGCCUCUUGUUUAUAUAUGUAAAUAUGUGUAUAUAUAUAAAUAUAUCAUGUAUAUAUUUAUAGAAAGUCCUUAUUGCUAUUAUUAUGUUGACAUAGCAGGCGGGUUUUGGGUAUCUAUUCGGGUUUCGGAUAUCUGUGGGUUUGGUUUUGGGGAUGGAUUAUCACCCGAAUCAAUAUUUGGUGCGGUUUUGGGUUUCAAGUUUGGGUGCACAUAGAUUUCACCUGAUCUGAAUCCGCCCCGUUGCCAUCCUUACUUGCCAGGUAGAUCAUAAGGAAACUAGCAUGGCCAGUUUAGCGGAGCCCAUUUUCUCUUUUCUUCGCUUGGGCUCCGAUUCUUCUUAUUGCGCCAAAUAUUUUCCUCCAUCUAUUAGGAACUUAUUAAAUAAAGUUCAAUCUCUCUGUCGGUGUUUUUUUUUUGAACAUAAGGUCAGUCUUAGUGAAGAGGUUUAAUUUUAUAGUUUUCAAGACCCCAUAUGUUGGAAACGGUAUAGAUAAAUUUCAAUGUUAUUCAAAAUUAUGUUCUUGUAGUAUAAAAUAUGAUAGAAUUGCAUGAACAAAUCAAAUGAUUCUCAAAGUUACGUUUUGUAGCAUAAAGAACAUUCCCAUGUGGCCAUAAAACAUGAUGCUGAUUUGCUUCAGUGCAGUACGUAGUACUGGGAAGACGCCAUGCAUAUGCAUGUUCUCGCGUGGUGUACUUCACCAUCUUGAGUCGAUCGAUUCCUUGGUACCAGCAGGAACGCGUCCCGGUAGUUGGCGUUUCUGCUGUACCCGCCGGCCGCCGCCGGCCGGUAUAGUAGCAGUGAGUGAAUGACCCUAGGGUUUUUUUUUUUUUUUUUGGAAAGGUUCAACGGGGGGGGGUUGAUCCCCCACCUGAUUUUAUUGAUUAUAGCUCAUCAUUCAUGAUUACAAGAGAUUUGUACAGGAGUUUUCGCUAGAUUAGAAGCACCGAUUACAUAGGGGUGAAUGAGUUUUCCCUCCUCUAGAAUUUCUCUGCUUCUCCAGCUGCUCAUCUUCUUCCCCUCGAACACACUAGUUUCCACUGCUAUUCUCAGGUUGCUAACAAUGAGCCUAGCUAGUACUCGUUGGAGCUUGGAGGUCGUCAGGUUGCCAAUAGCUAUAGGCACCGAGGAUGCGGAUGAGCCGAGAGCAGACGCAGAGGCAGCAGAGAGCGAUGUGGUGGAUGGAUCGCAGCGCGGGGCGGAGGCCAUGGCCUGGCCGCUGGACUUUUUUGCCUGGCAAUGUUGGCCAUGCAUGGCCAGCAAGGGAGGAACAAAGGAUGACCGGAUCGGCGGCCUUGUUUACUUCCCGAAAUGAAAAUUUUCGUGACACUGUAGCACUUUCGUUUGUUUGUGGUAAUUAUUGUCCAACCAUAGACUAACUAGGCUCAAAAGAUUCGUCUCGUCAAUUUUGACCAAACUGUGCAAUUAGUUUUUAUUUUUAUUUAUAUUUAAUACUCCAUGCAUGUGUAUAAAGAUUCGAUGUGACGGAGAAUUUUGAAAAAUUUUACGUUUUUGGGUGGAAGUAAACAAGGCGUUCAGACUUGUGAUGAGAGCGCAGCGCAGCCAAUACUAUUACUGCUCGCCUGCGAAUCUACACGACGGUUCGUCUGGCAGCCCUGCACGAUACGUAGAGGUGCGCGCACAGCAGGACGUCUCGCAGCUGGCACCGGAAAUCACUGAGAUCCCGGCCGGGCCGGCCAUGCAUGCCCACCUGCGCAAGCUUGGCUUUGCUGCGCUUCACUGUUGAUAGUUAACGCCUUUGCCCUAGCCCCAGGGCGCGGUCCCGGACUCCCGGUCCUUUGUCCUCAUUACUGCCACCAGGCAUGUGUGGGAGUCAGGCAGGUGUGAAGACUCGAUCAAGACGAGAAAAUUGUGAGGUGGGCUUUAGUUUCUAAAAAAUUUUGUAAAAUUUUUCAGGUUUCCCGUUACAUCGAUUUUUUUAGACGUGUGCAUAGAGUAUUAAAUAUAGACGAAAAUAAAAACUAAUUGCACAUUUUGAUCGGAAUUGACGAGACAAAUCUUUUGAGCCUAGUUAGUCUAUGAUUAGAUAAUAUUUGUCAAAUACAAACGAAAGUGCUACAGUAUCAACAAAACCAGCAAAUAAUGGUGCCAUUGCGAUAGCCAGCUCCGCCGCGUGCAUCGGCAUUAGCCGUCAGUUCGUCACGAUCUCUUUCGAAAAAGAUCACCAAUCACUUAGCUGCUGCACUGGCGCAACUACAGUGCCCGUUGCCUCUCAAGAAACUUGUUCAAUCACUAUAGGAGAUAGACGCUUUGCCGAGUGUCUCUUGCACUCGACAACGGUCCAAAUACACUUGACAAAGUCUUUACCGAGUCCACACUCGACAAAGAGCACACGGCGAAAUUUUGGUCGGCAAAAGAGUCUUUGCCGAGUGUUUUUUAUCGGACACUCGGCAAAGUUAAAAAUAAAAAAACAAAAAAUAGGAAAAUAGGAAAAUAUUUUUUUUAGGGGAAGGUCUGCCAUCAGCCAGCAACCACCACUGCACCCUCCACCUUUUCUUUGGCAGGAUUCGAACCUACGACCUCAAGCACCACACUCCUUUACCACUACACUAUACCAUCAGUUGUGAUUAUAUUCUGUUUCGGUUCUUCAUAUAUCAUACUAAAUCACAUGUAAAUUGAUUAUUUGAGCCUCUAAACGUUCAAAUCAAAAAGUUGUCAACUACAAAGUUUCAUAACUUUUUGAGAUAUAUAAUUUUCAUUUAGGAAGUUUCUCCAUCCGUGACCGUUUACAAAAUUUGAAUUUCAAAUUUGAGAAAUUUAAACGUAGUUUUUGCAUGACAACAUGGUUUCAAAUCAAAAAGUUAUCGACUACAAAGUUUCAUAACUUUUCGAUACCUACAAAGUUUAUUUAGUCAAUUUUUUCAUCCAAGGUAGUUUCAGAAAAUCAAAAUUAAAAUUUUUCAAAUAAAGAUGUAGUUUUGCAUGACAAGAUAAUUGUCCACCAUAAAAUUUUAUAACUUGUCAAAAUCUAUAAAGUUUAUUUUGGUUGUUUAAUCAUUUGCUCACCUGACGCGGUAAUUCUAAUAUUUUUCACAAAUCUUAUAUAUCUCUCUUGUAGUUCUAGGAACUAUAAGAGAGAUGUAAAAUUUGUGAAUAAAUUUAUCUUCACUUUGCCAAAUGAAGAAAUGGCCAAAAUAAAGAUUAUAGAUCUUGAGAAGUUAUACAACUUUGUAGUUCAAAAUUUUUUUAUUUAAAUUUGUUUAGGGAUUCAAAUUUUGAUUUGAAAUUUUCUUUGCCGAGUGUUUUUUUUUUUUGCACUCGGCAAAGAGGGUUCUUUGUCGAGAGUAAAAAAACACUCGGCAAAAAGGGUUCUUUGCCGAGUGUCAAAAAAACACUUGGCAAAGACCUUCUUCGCCGAGUGUUUUUUUUGACACACGGCAAAGAACCCUCUUUGCCGAGUGUUUUUCUCUGUCGAGCGUUUUUUUUUAGCACUCGGCAAAAAAGCUCUUUGCCAAGUGCCCGAAAAAAACACUCGGCAAACCAUUAGACACUCGGUAAAGAACCGGAUUCAUAGUGAAUAAUGUUUUCCUCAUAUCCUAAUCUAUAAUUUUAUGGGACUAGGAGCAGAACAAAUGAUACACAAAUACGAUUACCAACAUGGAUAUUUCUUUUUUUUUUCCUGGAUGUAGGUACUGGUACGAACUCAGAACUAGGCGGGCUUAAAUAAUUGGAUAAUGUGUGCUUGCACUCUGUGUUUGAAUCGUAAGUCGUUCUAACGUUUCUAGAUACAUAUAGCUUUGUUAGAAGCAUCUACUCCCUCUGUCCGUAAAUAACUAUCGUCGUUAGUUAAGACUAUCUCCAUCAAUUGUUACCCAAAAUACAAUACUCAUUUGUCCUUUGGGUAGCGCUACAGGUAAAAGAUUCCAUACCUAUUUUUAGUCUUCUCCAACAACAAGACCUAAAAGACAACACUCUCUGCAAAUAGGUCUCAAGGAGAGAGGAUACACAAAUUUGGGUUAUGCCUCUCCUGAUACCCAAAAUGGGUUUUCUGUAUGGGUACUCUGUUGGAGGCUAUAGGUAUUGUGUUGGAGACCUAUUUUGGGUUUGGGUUCCCAAAUGGGUCUCCUAUUGGAGACAGCCUAAUGUGUUUGUUGCAAGUUUGAUUUGAUUUGUAAAAAAAUAUGCACAAUAUUUGUAUCUCCAAAUAAAGUUAUUAAAAAAAUCUUGAUUUAAAGAUCUUUUUAAUAAUACUAAUUAUGUACCAUAAAUAUUAUAUAUAUAUAUAGUCAAAGUUGUUUCUCAGAAAAUACAAAUCAUAGAUAUCUGGGGACAAAGAAAAUGGAUACAAAAAUAAAAGUUAUAUAUCUAGCAAAGCCAAAACUAUAGAAUGGAGAGAGUACGUAUACAUGAAACUAUUUUACAAAAAUUAUCCAAGACAUUCAUCUGCUAUCCCAUCGAGCGCCACUGCGUUGGGCCUUAUCAGCCGCUUAUCCUUAGCACUUCGCUGGCCAUACUACUACCCAUCGCCAGUGGGGACGAAUGUGCGCGUUUCAGCCUUUCAGGUAGAGCAUGGCCCAUGUACGUACGGGUACGGCCUAGAGCCCACCGAGAGUUCCCCUUUCGGGCUGUCCAUACCAUAUGAGCAAAUGGCCCUAUCGCGGCCCAUAAGGCCAUAACAUUAUUUAGCUAGGAGCUAUGUUAAUUUUUUUCAAAAGAAGAUAUGUUUGGUUUCUUGCACUUUUUGAUGGAGUCCUAUACUUCUUACGCUGAUAUAUAAUGAAGGCUGAUUAUUUUGCAAAAGAAAAAAAAAAG